CAGCUCCACACAGUCCACAGUACCUCGUCUCCUCCAGGACUCCAGUCCACAGUACCUCGUCUCCUCCAGGACUCCAGUCCACAGUACCUCGUCUCCUCCAGGACUCCAGUCCACAGUACCUCGUCUCCUCCAGGACUCCAGUAAGGGGCUGUUGCUCUGCUCGUGGCUGGGAAAGGAUGCUCUAAGCUGGGGGGUUUCAGAGUGGUUCUUUGCAGGAUAUAAUAAAAUAUGAAAGAGUUGUGUGUAGGACUAGGACAAUCAGUGUUUGUUUUGUGUGUGUAGCUAUGUGAGAAGGCAAAUACUUGUUAGAAGCGGGGUGUUUUUUAAAUCGGUU
rnacentral:lncRNA from 1 species